rnacentral:rRNA from 1 species
UACGUAGGGGGCAAGCGUUGUCCGGAUUUAUUGGGCGUAAAGAGCUCGUAGGCGGCUUGUCGCGUCGUCCGUGAAACCUGCGGCUCAACUGCAGGCUGGCGGUCGAUACGGGCAGGCUGGAGUUCGGUAGGGGAGACUGGAAUUCCUGGUGUGAGCGGUGAAAUGCGCAGAUAUCAGGAGGAACACCGAUGGCGAAGGCAGGUCUCUGGGCCACUACUGACGCUGAGAAGCGAAAGCCAUGGGGAGCGAACAGG